GCCGGGCGCGGUGGCUCACGCCUGUAAUCCCAGCACUUUGGGAGGCUGAGGUGGGUGGAUCACCUGAGGUCAGGAGUUCAAGAUCAGCCUGACCAACAUGGAGAAACCCCAUCUCUA
rnacentral:SRP_RNA from 1 species